rnacentral:rRNA from 1 species
AUGAGAGAGAGGAAUACGUACCCCCGAAUGGAGAUCCUCAGCAGUCAAUCAUUGGCGACGGCGAGCACUUUCCCGCUGACUGUAUGGCCUUCUGUAAUUAUGCUAGCAGCAUGCCUCGAGUCAUUAGCCUAUCGAGGACAACAACACCAAGGAGAUAGCUUGACGCCGAUGUGGGUUGGGGGUGGCUGGCGGCGGGGCUCUUCGAGCCUGGAGACGAAGGGCGCACGCGGCAGCGGCGAUAGCCGAGCCCGUCGCGGCUCGGGCCCGAGCUGCGCGUGGCAGUGGAUCCGCGGCGGCGUCGGCAUCCUGGGGAUCCUGAUCCAUGACGGGCGACGUAUCCGAGGCGCCGGUGGUGACGGUGUCCUCGUGAUCCACGACGGCCGCAUCUGCCCGGAUCGGCGUCGGCGGAUGCGGAUGCGGCUGCGUAUCCUCGGGAGACGAGGAGGAGCAGAUCGGAGGGCGGCGGCAGCGAGAUCGCACGAGAGGACGGCGGCUCUGUGUCCUCGAGGGAUCGACAGGAGAGGUUUUUUGCGGGGUGUUUUCUGGCUGCGUGUGUGGGGUGGGAUGGGGGAGACGAAAAAAAACCAGCAAAAAAAACCGGUUGAAAAAAAACCAGUCGAAAAAACCAGACGAAAGGGGGGACUAUUCAAUCAACUCGUCCUUUGCUUUUCCGCGAGACGAAAUAGGCGAGAGCGCUCGCUGGAAUUAGCAAAGCACAGUAGCUGCUGGCUAGGCGGUGCCUGGGCCGAAAGCAGCAAAGAGAUAAUGAACCUCGGGACGGGCCGGGCCGGGCGCGGGCCUGGGCCUUGCACCUUUCGAGCUUCCCGAUCCCACCACCACUUGUCGCAGCUGGCCACCUGUCAUCUCCACUCCUCGCUGGCUCUCCCGGGGCCGGGUCAGGUCAGGCCAGGUGUGUGA